UGUGUAUGGGCACAGUAUGUGUGUAUGGGCACAGUAAGUGUGUAGUUGGAAAGAGAGAGCUAAAGAGGUUUUGAGCUGUGUAAGUGAAAUACCGAAAGGAAUCAAUUAAUGAACAAAAGAAAAGAUACGUUUAUCAUUCAGUAGAUUUUCUUUGCUGGGGAUAAUUUUGUUUUAACUUAUUAUCUUCUAUGUAUAAUCCUUUGAUUUCUACUGGACUAUAAUUAUGUAGCGUCCGUCGAGUGAAAGGGGCCAUAUCACCACAGAAAGGCGACCAGAAAAUCGACAAAGUACGCAAAUACGAGAAUAAAUCAAGUCACAUUACAACUUAGAAUUACUGAGAAGUGAAAGUAGGGACAAAUAAAGCAGAAGAUGACCUACUUAGCUUUGAUUACCUUGACCUAUUUUAUAGCAGCAUUCGCAGAAGCUAAUACCGACAAAAAAGCCUGGGCAUGCGAAGGUAUGCAAACAGUUCUAGUCUGCCAUGAAGGCUCCAUAAAUGUAACCUCAGCCCGAUAUGGAUUCUUCGGGCAAAAUUGUAAUCACGAACCGGAACACAAUGACAUUGUUUGCUAUGACAAGACAGCCCGGAAACAUGUCUCGUACUUAUGUCAAGGGCGACAGUUCUGCACCAUAAAUGUCAGCAGCAAAGUGUUUGAGAACCCUUGUGCUAAAUUUAUUCAAAAACAUUUAGAAAUAAAUUAUAAUUGUGGACACAAGUGAUUGGCGAACUUUUUAUCCUAUGACAAGUACAAAACCUUUGUACCUGCACAUUUUUUCGAUAUUGCCCUAGUUAGUGUAGCACUGUAGAAUUUAAGAUACCUUAGCGCAGUAAAGCAAUAAGUUAGAAAGGUCCUUUCGAUAUUAUUAUACAUUUACUUCUUAAAAACAUAUUUAAGUAUGAAUUAUGCAGUGUAGAGAUGGAAUCCAUGUUAAUAUAUGCUUAUACUUUAUGUUAUAUUUUAGCUUAACUUAUUUAUAAAUAUAAAAAUGUGUUGUGUGGAUAAUUUAGAGAUGAUAACCCAUGUUGUUGUUUUUUCAUAUCAAAGUCACUGAGAUUUGGUUUGAGAUUCCUUGUAAUACUUUUUUAACCGAAAACAGAGGGAACGCGACGUCAUGACAAGGGGGCACAAGAAGAGGUUCAUUCUUUCAAGGACUAACAAAUCAGUUGCCAUUUCUUGUCCUGUGGAAAGUUUAGACUUAAAAAUUUGAUUAUUUUGGCUUCUGAAGGAACACCCGAAACAUGUCAAACAUUUAAAAUAUAAACGUAUUAAAUUAAAUGACCUCGUUUCAUCUUAAAAGCAAGAUAUUCUCAUUGAUAUUGCGUGAGACGUCUACAUAUAUUUAAAAUGUAACAUGUUUUACAUGUUUCGGAUGUUCCUUCAGAGUUUAAGAUAGUUUACUUCCUAGUCCAAACCUCCCUCAGGACGGCGGGGGAUGGGAGCGGGCAGGGUUUGAACCCUGGACCAUCGAUAAAUCUGAACGACAGUCCAGCGCGCAAACCGCACGACCAGGCAGCCAUCCCUUAUCGGUUCAUAACGUCAUUGAAAGAAAUUAUUUAAGACUUCAGCGCUCCAAAUACGUCUCUUGAUUAUCGGCUUGCCCAAUUAAUUUUCCCAAAGUUAUUUAAUCUGCGCUCUUCUUACUAGGAGGAGAAGUAGUGCGUUGUGUAGAUGUUAGGAAUUUCCGAAGUAGGGCACAGGAUAACUCUUGGUGACGGAACAUCGCUUACAUCUUCUUAGACUGUUUACUGCACUUUUCCCGAGCCCUUAUUUCUGAGUAACUAAAUGGGGCCUCGAACGUAUUUUUUUUAGUGGUUUGGAUAGAGGUAGAGAGGCGUCACCAAUAAAAGUUUGAUAAACCCUGGUUUACUUACAUGUAAACUAAUUCUAGAUCUGAUACCUGUAGAUGUUCAGAAACGAGGGCCUACUUAUAUAUACAUGGCUUAUUGUAAAUAUAUUUGUGAAAGAAAAUCAAGAUUUCUGAACACUGUAUAUCCGCUAAAAGAUAAAAGCAACAUUCCUAUUUAUGAAAACAUAUUAUACAAAACGUGUCCUUUUUUUUUUUUUAACCUGUUUUGAUUCUAAUAUUAGUUCCUUUUGUGUCACUUGAAAUUUGAGUUUGACAAUAUAUAUAUACCAGGUGACAGCCACUAUCCUCUCUGAAUAAGUAUACUUGCUUUUCAAAGAUUUGUCGCAUUGAGUCCUGUUGAGUCAACAAAUAAUGUUUUCUUAGCAUUGAUAACCCUCCAGAAUUUAGAUCUAACUAGCCGGAUGUGACCCUCGGCCUGCUGCCUUAAUUAGUGUAUUACUGAUCUAGUGGAAUACAUUUAGAGCUACGACAAACACGGAGAAUGCCCCUUUUUUUUUUUACUUCUGCCACGAAAAAAAAAAAAAAGUAGAUUGUAAAAAAAAAGUUUACCCAUUCAGCCGAAAUAUUACAUAUUUAAAACGCCGGAUUUGUCGAAAGUUUUGUUCUUUAAUAAAGAUGAAUUCAGGUAAUUUUGAAACAAUUUUAUGGUCCUCCGGAUGUAGGAAAGAAAUUAAACUUACACUACGGUCUCUGACCUGAUCCAAGAAACAUUUUUGCCAAGUUUUAUUCAGAUUUGGUCAAGCGGUUUUGAUUUCUAUGCGGGACAUAGAUACAUAUAUAAAUACAUACAUACACCUUACUUCCAAUUUUAUAUAUUAAAUUAAUGCAAUUUUAUUCAAUCUUUAAAGAAAAGUUUGAGUUGUACCCGAAGCUAUGUACAUCGGUAGUUGUUUGUUUUUUUUGAAAUUAUAUUCUUUCAUUUUCAAAUUACUACUUAAAUAUCUUUGACCAGUUCAAGUUACUGUGCUUUACAAAUGUCUGUACUUGUUAUUUAUAUUUUCAUAUUGUGAUUAUUUACUGCUAUAACAAAGAUAUAUUUGUAUUUAUUUAAAAAAUAAUGACAACUAUAAGCUGACAAGAAACAUUGACACAUAGGGACUUUACCUUUACCUAUCCCUUAGUCUGUUGGACCGUUGGGGCACCAGGCAAGACUUGUCGACCGUCUUUCUCCAUUCCUCCCUUUUUUUUUUGCCUUGUUUAGAACCUCUCUCACUGGCAGGCCCGUCCAUGGGAACUACGGAACUAGAAAUCAAAAUAAAUAUUGGCUUAAAAUAGUCAAUUGUAAAUAAUGAAAAAAUACAAAUAAAAAAAUAACAUUGCACCAUCCUGAAAGAAUUAUUUACAUUAUUUACAUUAUUUACAUUUUAAUGUAUACCGGCUGUGAUAUUUCGGUUGUGUGAUUAUUUGGUAUGGAAACUAAGACAUGGUGAAAACGUAGACCCUGACUUAACAGAAGGCUGAGAGGUUAGCGCUUGACUUCCGAACCAGUGGGUCCAGGGCUCGAAAAGUAAAGGCGGUUGGCCGUUCUACUGUCACAUGACACACUCAUUAAGCAUAGGCCAGAGAAACAGAACACGUGAUCUUUGGAUUACCUGCCCUAUAGAUAAGAAUGUGUGAAAGGGGAACUUUACGAUUUAUUUGUUAUUAUUUUAUAAAUAAAAAAAAACAUUUGUGUUAAAAUACAAUUAUAUUACAACUUUUUAUUGAAUGAGUUAUUUAUGUAAUUUUAUAUAAUAUUUUUUUAUAUUUUUAAAGCGAUGUUAAAAACAAAAUGUAGUCUCGUAUGACGAUGUGUUAACAUUAUAAAACAUAAACAUAUCUAUUAUUCUUUUUCUUAAUAUUUUGAUUUCAAUGCAAUUGUUCUACAGAAAAAGGUGACCUUUACAUCAUCUGCCUCUUAGCUCGCAAGGUUUAAAAGAGGAUUUUUAAUAUUUUUUUCUACUUAUGUUACUACUUUUAAAAAAAAAAUGAGUUAUAUAUAUAUAGGCCCCUAUAUAUAUUGUUACAUCUCUCCUACUAUCCAGGCUCUCUUUAAACUGCACCGCACGACACAACGAACUUAAAGAACCUCACAACUCAGGGCUCCAAAGUAUCAAUCAGUUUAAUUUCAAAUACAUCGCAAUUGUCUUUACAAAAACCUAGUCUUGCUCCGCCUGACUUGACACACCGUGCUGGAUUCUCGCCUCGUACUGGUCACAUUGCGAGGUAACGUGAAGUCCCGUCUUUCUGACACUCGCUCUUAUAUAGUGUCUCUACUGGCCUACUCGAACCUUCUUGACCACUCCAGUUGAUCACUUUCGCCCGUGACUUGCGUGCGUACUGCGUAGUAUUUACGACAUUGGUCCUUGCCGAACUGGCGUGUACUGUCACUGGUCACGGUUGACCGCUCGUCCUGCGCUGGACUGUGGCGAUUUGGGUAGGCUAAAAACACAGAGCACUACCCCCAUCUGUGUCUCCACCAAGUUUACAACAAUAUAUAUGUAUAUUCUUUUUUCUUAAUAAAAUACUUUUGGAUUUAAAUGUAAUUAUGUUAAAACUUUUUUGCAAAUGAGUUUAUAUAUAUGUUUUGUCGAUUAGUUAGUUAUCUGGAUUAAAGCUAUACAUAUGUAACCUCAUGUGUACAGCUGAAGAUAUCAUUAAAAAAAAAAAUCAUGAAAAGGUAUUUUACAUUUUUUAAAAAUUAUCCGUUGGUGUAAAUACUUGAACAAAUAUAGGCCAAUAUGAACAAAUUAUUAUUUUUUGUGUGCUUGUUUGUUUGUAAAAUGUUUUACAUGUUUCGGAUGUUCCUUCAGAGUUGAAGAUAAUUACUUCCUAGUCCAAACCUACCGCAGGACGACGGGGGAUGGGAGCGGGCAGGGUUUGAACCCGGGACCAUCGAUAAAUCUGAACGACAGUCCAGCGUGCAAACCGCACGACGAGGCAGCCAUCCUUUGUCCAUUUAAUAAGUUAUCUGGCAUUAAAGUUAUUUUUUUAAAACUAUUGUUAUCGAGUGUGUAUGUGUGUGUUUCUAUGGUGAUGUUGAGAAGAGGUUAGUGAUUGGUUGGUGGCUAUGCAGUGUGAAUGAUGCAAGAUAAGGCGCAUUGUCGUAAGUAGUCUUGGGUACGCCAGACGGUUUCAGAAUGCCCGAAAGUAAAGACGUUAUUGUGAGGUUUGUUUUUUUCAAACAAAUUUAAACUAUUACAAUAACUCUAUUUAACCCCCCUUCCAGCUCACCAGUUCGUCAAUUAUGGUUCCAUGAUGCCCAGUUUUGUCAUCCAGGGGGCUGAGGGCUCUGCACUGGGGGUUAGUGCCUCCUCAUGUGGCUGGUGAGACCUAUGUGAGCCCGGAAUGAUCGGCUGCACACUGGGCAGGUUAUUCCAGCUGGAGCUGGUGUCAUUGGCCUUGCUUUUUGUUUUCUUUGACGCUGGUCUUCUGCCGGCGUUGUUCUCUUUUCCUCAGCAAUUUGUGCGCUAGUUUUCACAGCGCGACGCCAGGAUGCUCUGUGAUGUGCUUCUGUCUCCCAGGUGGCUGGGUUUAUGCUGAACGCCUUUAGAGAAGUUUUAAGGGUGUCCCUGAAGCGUUUUCUUUGUCCGCCUUGUGAGCGCUUCCCUUCCUUUAACUUGCCUUACAGAAGUUGUUUAGGGAUGCGGCUUUUUUCCUAAAAAUUUAACAGUUGAUGUAUAUCUCUGAGAAAAGAAUUACUAGCUCGUUGGCCACACUGGAAAAAACUCUAGUUUGAGCGUUAUAAUUUUUCAAAGUAUAAAUGCUAUAAAUUUAAAUUUGGCUCUAAAUUGGAGUAAAAAAAAACAUGGCGUAUUCAGUCGUAGUGUACCGAUAACUCAGUUGUGUUUUUAAAUUUAAAGUUGCUUUACCUUUAUUAAUAGAUCAUCUAAGCGUUGCAUAUUUGUCAAUGUAAAUCUAAUACACAUAACGUCUAUAGUCUAGAUCUAGAAGCAUGUCUAAAUCUAGACUAGACCCUUUAAGAGUUCAAAAUCAGAUACUGUAAUGACGGUAGCAAUAAAUAGUUAGUAAUACAAACCUUUCGGAUCAAAAAGCUAACAGGUGUCGAAAUCACGAGUUUGAUACCCGGUUUAAUCCAAAUUUUUAAAUAUUUUUUAAAAAAUAUUUUGUUUUAUUUUAAGUUGUGUAAUGGAGGUAUUGACUUUUAAAAUAAAAAAGAAAAGUAUUUUUAAAAUGUUUUUCUUGUUUCAUCUCAUGCCAUAUUUGUUAUUGUAAUAAAAGUUAUAUAUAGCUUUGU